CAUUCAUCCUUCCAUCCAUCCCUCCAUCUCUCCAUGCAUCCUCAUCCCUCCAUCCCAUCGUCCUGCCUCCAUCCCCCAUCCCUCCAUCCCCAUCCCUCCAUCAGCGUCCCUCCGAACCCGCCUCCUCCAUCCCCAUCCCUCCUCAUCCUCACCCCUCCAUCCCCAUCCCUCCUUCGCUCCAUCCCUCCAUCCCCGUCCCUCCGUCUGUCCAUCUGCUCCAUCCCUCCCUCCAUCAUCCCUCCAUCCCUGCAUCCCUCCUUCGCUCCAUCCCCUUCAUCCCUCCCUCCAUCCCCAUCCCUCCUUCGCUCCAUCCCUCCAUCUGUUCAUCCGCUUCAUCCCUCCCUCCAUCGUCCCUCCAUCCCUGCAUCCCUCCUUCGCUCCAUCCCUCUGUCCUGUCCCUCCAUCUGUUCAUGUCCUCCAUCCCCAUCCCUCCAUCCCGGCAUCCCCCACCCAUCCCUCCACUCUCCAUCCCUGCAUCCCUCCUUCGCUCCAUCCCUCCAUCUGUUCAUCCGCUUCAUCCCUCCCUCCAUCGUCCCUCCAUCCCUGCACCAUCCCUCCAUCUGUUCAUCCGCUUCAUCCCUCCCUCCAUCGUCCCUCCAUCCCUGCAUCCCCCACCCAUCCCUCCACUCUCCAUCCCUGCAUCCCUCCUUCGCUCCCUCCAUCCCCAUCCCUCCAUCCCUGCGUCCCUCCUUCGCUCCCUCCAUCCCCAUCCCUCCAUCCCUGCGUCUCACCCUCCUCGUCCGCCUGCUCCCCUCCCUCCUUCCCUCCCUCCCCCGGCGGUUCCCGACGGUGCCCCCAGCGCCGGGACCCCCCGCACACGCUGCCACACGCACCAGGCACACGCCAAGCACACGCACGGGGCACACGCACACGCCUGACACAUGCACGGGGCACACGCACACGCCUGACACACACGUGAGCCCCAGAUCGCGGACACACGCGCGCACAAGCGGCAGCACCCGGCCGCGCCCAGCACACGCGUGUGCUCGCGGACACGCUCCCCCACGCUCCCGGCGAACACGCGUGCACACGGAUGUGACGGAGCACGGACACGCACACGGCUGCAGCCUGCACACGCAUCGCACACGCGUCGCACACACAGCACCAGGCGCACACGCGUGGUGACACGCAGCGGGACACACGUCACCCGCCACUGGUGUCACCCGCUGCCCCAUCACACGGCCGCACACGCGGGGCCGCGCGUGCACGAUGUCACCGUCCGUGUCACACCUGGACCCCGCUGCACACCCCCGUGUCGCACACCAUGUCGCACACGCUGUCACACUCACUGACACGGUGUCACUUGCUGUCGCACUCGCUGCCACACAUCACACACACACUGUCACACAGUCACACGCUGUCACGUCACACACAGCUGCACGGUGUCACACGCUGUCACACAGUCACACACUCCCGUGUCACACUCACUGUCACCCAGACACACACAGUAUCACACACACGCUGUCACAGUCAGUCCCAUGUCACACUC
rnacentral:lncRNA from 1 species